GAUGGGCAGCACCACCGGCCCAUCUCGCCCGCCCCGCCGGGUAGGUGGAGCACGAGCGCGCGGCAUGACCCGAAAGAUGGUGAACUAUGUCUGGGCAGGGCGAAGCCAGAGGAAACUCUCGUGGAGGUGCAUCGGUCCUGACGUGCAAAUCGGUCCUCUGACCUGGGUAUAGGGGCGAAAGACUAAUCGAACCAUCUAGUAGCUGGUUCCCUCCAAAGUUUCCCUCAGGAUAGCUGGCGCUCGGGCCGACCUAGUUUUAUCCGGUAAAGCGAAUGAUUAGAGGUCUUGGGGCCGAAACGAUCUCAACCUAUUCUCAAACUUUAAAUGGGUAAGAAGCCCGGCUCGCUGGCCCUGAUCCGGGCGUGGAAUGCGAGCGCCCAGUGGGCCACUUUUGGUAAGCAGAACUGGCGCUGCGGGAUGAACCGAACGCCGACGCUCAUCAGACACCAGAAAAGGCGUUGGUUGAUAUAGACAGCAGUACGGUGGCCAUGGAAGUCGGAAUCCGCUAAGGAGUGUGUAACAACUCACCUGCCGAAUCAACUAGCCCUGAAAAUGGAUGGCGCUGGAGCAUCGGGCCCAUACCCGGCCGUCGCCUGC